UUAGUACUCCCUCCGUUCCAAAAUAGAUGACCCAACUUUGUACUAACAAUAGUACAAAGUUGGGUCAUCUAUUUUGGAACGGAGGGAGUAUAUA
rnacentral:pre_miRNA from 1 species